rnacentral:rRNA from 1 species
UACGGAGGGUGCGAGCGUUGUCCGGAAUCACUGGGCGUAAAGGGCGCGUAGGUGGCGGCCCAAGUCCAUGGUGAAAGCUCGUCGCUCAACGACGAGUCGGCCACGGAUACUGGGUUGCUCGAGCACUGUAGAGGCAGAUGGAAUUCCGGGUGUAGCGGUGGAAUGCGUAGAGAUCCGGAAGAACACCGGUGGCGAAGGCGGUCUGCUGGGCAGUAGCUGACACUGAGGCGCGACAGCGUGGGGAGCAAACAGG